rnacentral:tRNA from 1 species
GCGCGGGUGGCGAAAUUGGCAGACGCGUACGCUUGAGGUGCGUAUGGAGAGAUCCUUGCAGGUUCAAGUCCUGUCCCGCGCA